UUCUAUCUUUAAGUCAUGACAGAUAUUGUUAUUAUCAGAACUCAGGAUAAGACCCAGAUGCAGACAGCUAGAAUCACAGAUGUUUAUUGCCCGAAACAGGGGGCAGGCAGAAGACUGGUCAAGGGCAGGCAGAGGUCUGUAAUCCAAGGCAGAGUCGGGCAGGUACAGAACAGCAAGCAGGUUCAGGGUCUGGGCAGGCAGAGGUCUGUAAUCCAGGGCAGAGUCAAUAAGGUACAGAACAGCAAGCAGGUUCAGGGUCAGGGCAGGCAGAGGUCUGUAAUCCAGGGCAGAGUCAAUAAGGUACAGAACAGCAGGCAGGCUCAGGGUCAGGGCAGGCAGAGGUCUGUAAUCCAGGACAGAGACAAUAAGGUACAGAACAGCAGGCAGGCUCGGGGUCUGGGCAGGCAGAGGUCUGUAAUCCAGGGCAGAGUCAGGCAGGUACAGAACAACAAGCAGGCUCAGGGUCAGGGCAGGCAGAGGUCUGUAAUCCAGGGCAGAGUCAAUAAAGUACAGAACAGCAGGCAGGCUCGGGGUCUGGGCAGGCA